UCAUUGUAAAUUAGUCAAGUUAAGUAAAGUCAGUGACCAACUUUACUAUCUUCUUUAGUUGCUUAGUCGCUAAACUCUUAUCUUUACUUUUCCUAGUCUUAUAACUUUUACAAAUUGUAUGAAAUAACACAAAGUUAAGUGUAUAUAUGAAUCUUGUCAGAGAACCAGAACAAGUUGUACUGAAAAUGAUUGGCACAAGAUUCAAAAAAAAAAACAAAUCAAAACUUCGACAUCUACUUACAAAAAACUUCACAACGUUUCUUCCAUUAUUACUUUGUCAAAUCUUCCACAAAGAAAUUAACACUCAGAUCAAACAUUUAUUUCCUUACCCC
rnacentral:lncRNA from 1 species